GAUGAACGCUGGCGGCGUGCCUAAUACAUGCAAGUCGAGCGAACAGACGAGGAGCUUGCUCCUUUGAUGUUAGCGGCGGACGGGUGAGUAACACGUAGGUAACCUACCUAUAAGACUGGGAUAACUUCGGGAAACCGGAGCUAAUACCGGACAAUAUUUCGAACCGCAUGGUUCGAUAGUGAAAGAUGGCUUUGCUAUUCCGUAUAGAUGGACAUGCGCCGUAUUAGCUAGUUGGUAAGGUAAAGGCUUACCAAGGCAACGAUACGUAGCCGACCUGAGAGGGUGAUCGGCCACACUGGAACUGAGCCACGGUCCAGACUCCUACGGGAGGCAGCAGUAGGGAAUCUUCCGCAAUGGGCGAAAGCCUGACGGAGCAACGCCGCGUGAGUGAUGAAGGUCUUCGGAUCGUAAAACUCUGUUAUUAGGGAAGAACAAACGUGUAAGCAACUGUGCACGUCUUGACGGUACCUAAUCAGAAAGCCACGGCUAACUACGUGCCAGCCGCCGCCGUAAAAC
rnacentral:rRNA from 1 species